rnacentral:lncRNA from 1 species
AAUGCUGAUUAUUUGCAGUGUCGGAAGGCACAAAAUAUACCUAAAAUGUAUGGAAUCGUCUAAACAGAGUUAUAAAUCCAAAGAGCAAAGCAUGAAAAAAAAAAAAAAAAAGAUACAUUCUGAGCUGACACAGAAAUCCGAGGUGGGAAGUUUUGUCGUCGUUGUUUUCUGGAGGACUUCCUUGAAUAUCGAUCAUUUCCCCUCAUGCCAAGGGUAGAGAAUUUUAAAAAUAACAUAAACAUGGUGAAGAAUAACACCAUGAGGUGUUAAGGGAUUUAUAUAUAUAUAUAUAAGCAGAAAUGCCUUUUCCCCAAAGAUGUGUGCUCUCUGUGUCUCUCGCAGGCACACGCACGCACACACACGCGUGCACGCGCACACGGGCCGUCUCUCCUCUCCCUGACACCCAUUCUCAGCAAGGCUGCCCGAGAACACAUCCAUGGUGUGCCCCGGAAGACUGGUCAUCUCGGGGAAAAAAACAAAAGACAAAGAAACACCAGACUUGGGAGUGAGAUAAGGCAGUGAGACCAGAAUCUGAUUAAAAAAAUAGAUAUAUAUGAAACCCUUGACCAUGCAGGGCCGGGCCCCUGGGUGCUGCUGGGGGACAGUGAGCCCGCGCUCCCACCCGAGACAUGUCCGUGGGCGGCCUUGGUGGCGGGAACGGUCGGGCCACACUCAGCCGCCGCAGAUAAAGAACUACGAACACUUGUCCCUGGGGCUUGCGGCGACCGUGGGGCAGCCAGUCCUCUCUGCUCAGCCAUCGGGACGUCAGGGAAGGAAUCCCCCGGGCAGGUGACCCCGGCCUGGCCACGGCCCUGGAGCCACCUACGAGGCCAGGGACAGGUGGCUAGCGGGCCGGCAGGGGUCCCAGCGCCCGCGGAGGUGGGGGUCGGGGGGCCGGGCCUUGGGGUGCCCCGGUCAUCUGCAUGCACCACCCUGGCAGGUCAGGAGGGCACAGUCACCUUUGCCCUCGGGAGAAGGGCUGGAGCGACACAGCGCGGACACCCAACGGCUCUGCUCCUGACGGUGCCAGGACGUCGGGGUGGGGGGCAGAUGGCUGCUGUCCUGGCCUUUGGGGACAGAGCCGCCCAGUGGUUCACCAGGGCGGGGAUUGUUCUGGAAGCCACAGAGACUACAGGGUGCUCCCAGCCAGGGGGUCCCCACUGGGGGCUGCUCCGGAGAAGGCGGGCAAAGCCGACGGGCACUGGGUACUGGCGUCUGCCCGCUGGGUUUUGCACCUGGAGACAUCCACUCACGUCGGGGGCUCUUUCCUGCGGAGGAGCUGCUCCUCCAGGGGCCCAGGCUCCUGCCUUUGCGAAGGACCGCGGCCCCUGUGACCUCAUCCCAGGGCUCACCGCCACCCGGAGCCUCGCCUGCUCACCGGGGUAUGUCCCUCCUCCUGCAACGGAGUCCUUCCACCUGAAACCACAGGCCCCAACCCCCAGGGGCUAUUCCCUGCCUACCUGGCCUCACACCUCAACACCCAGCGUGCAAGCGCAGGUCCAGCUGGCCCAUGGUGGGGCCUCUCUGCCUUCUCCCACAGUCUAUCCUUGUCGGUU